rnacentral:lncRNA from 1 species
GAGCCCCAGCAUGGUGUGAUGUGGAGGUGCGGUACACGACAUCUGAGCGCUCCCGGUGCUCUGCCAGCUACAGCCAUCUGAGGCUGUAUGAUGAAGGACUUUGCCGCUCUAACCAACGAAUCCAGAGUAGAAAACCGAAAAAUAAGGGGAAAGAUCCAAAAGUUGAAGACUCUUUUAUUGCUGUUUUCUGGCUGGUGUUUGAUUAUUUUCAAGUCAUUAUUAUGAGGAAGAAUAUGUUUGCAGAAAAAACCUUGGCACUUCAUCUGAGUUCUCACAUUUCCCUCUGUGAACUCCUCACCUCUGAUGAAGAACCAAACAGGAAUGGGAGCAGCUGCUCUGUAUGGAGGAGGGCUACAGAGCAGUCUGUGAGAUGGUUGGCAUCACCACUUGCUUGAAGGCACCAGACGUGGACAUUAAGCUCAGUGAAAAGAGACAGAAAUGCAGUGCAUCAGCAUUAGGAACAAUAAACAUAAAUCAGCACUCUUUGCUUAACAGAGAGCUGCUUCCACCAUGCUGUACAUUUUUUUCCAUGACGGGCUUAUUGAGUAGAACCAGGGAAUAA